UACAGAGGUCUCAAGCGUUGUUCGGAUUCAUUGGGCGUAAAGGGCUCGUAGGCGGAUCGGCAAGUCUGACGUGAAAUCUCCACUGCUCAACAGGGAGAGGUCGCUGGAUACUACCGAUCUUGAGUAUGGUAGAGGACCAUGGAAUUCCGCGUGUAGCGGUGGAAUGCGUAGAUAUGCGGAAGAACACCGGUGGCGAAGGCGGUGGUCUGGGCCAUUACUGACGCUGAGGAGCGAAAGCCAGGGGAGCAAACGGGG
rnacentral:rRNA from 1 species